AUACGGAGGAUGCAAGCGUUAUCCGGAUUUAUUGGGUUUAAAGGGUGCGCAGGCGGCGCGUUAAGUCAGUGGUGAAAUGUCCGGGCUCAACCUGGGCAGUGCCAUUGAUACUGGCGUGCUAGAGUACGGACGGCGCCGGCGGAAUGUGUCAUGUAGCGGUGAAAUGCUUAGAUAUGCCACAGAACACCGAUCGCGAAGGCAGCUGGCGAGGCCGGUACUGACGCUCAGGCACGAAAGCGUGGGGAUCAAACAGGAUUAGAUACCCUGGUAGUCCACGCAGUAAACGAUGAUGACUUGUUGUCGGCGAUAGACAGCCGGUGACAAAGCGAAAGCGAUAAGUCAUCCACCUGGGGAGUACGAUCGCAAGGUUGAAACUCAAAUGAAUUGACGGGG
rnacentral:rRNA from 1 species